rnacentral:rRNA from 1 species
UUGCGGCCCGGGAGUUCCUUCCUGGGGCCAAGCCUGUCUGAGGGUCGCCCU